rnacentral:rRNA from 1 species
CGCGUAGGCGGUUUUACAAGUCAGAUGUGAAAGCCCAUGGCUCAACCAUGGACGUGCAUUUGAAACUGUAAGACUUGAGUAUUGGAGGGGGUGGUGGAAUUCCCGGUGUAGAGGUGAAAUUCGUAGAUAUCGGGAGGAAUACCAGUGGCGAAGGCGACCACCUGGCCAAAUACUGACGCUCAUGUGCGAAAGCGUGGGGAGCAAACAG